CUGCGGUGAUGUCAGUCUCUCUCUGAAUAACUCUUGAAGUGCAAACAUGAGCUUUUUAACCCUGAGCAGU